UGUUGUUUUGUCUUUUGUGACUUGAUAGGACUUGAUAUGCUAGACUUUGAUGUUGUCCUUAGUAUGGAUUGGCUGCAUUAUUGUUAUGUUUUAUUGAUUGUAGAACCCGAUUUGGUCAUUAUGAGUUUUGGGUAUGUUGUUUGGUUUGACUAAUUCCUCGGAGUCAUGAAAAGAUUUGACGAAUAAGGUGUUUAGAUAAUACCUUGAUGUGGUGAGUGAGUAGGCUCCUCUAAAGGGUAGUUGUAUAGUUCACUAUGGUUUAGAAUCAUCUUGUGUGAUGGAUGUGAAA
rnacentral:lncRNA from 1 species